ACUCCCACCUGCACAUCAGCUUGUUUUGGUAUCCAGUAAGAGAAGAUACUAGUUGGCUUGAGCUUUGCUAUGAAGACAUAAGAUUGUCUGCUAUUGCAAGGUCAGCAAGCCGCCUGUCUGCAAG
rnacentral:lncRNA from 1 species